rnacentral:rRNA from 1 species
GACGAACGCUGGCGGCGUGCUUAACACAUGCAAGUCGAGCGGAGCGGCGAACGGGUGAGUAACGCGUGAGUAACUGCCCCCCUCUCUGGGAUAACAGUUGGAAACGGCUGCUAAUACCGGAUAGUGGGGGAUGACUCGCGCCCUCUCAGCUUGUUGGUGGGGUAGUGGCGUACCAAGGCGAGGACGGGUAGCCGGCCUGCGAGGGCGAACGGCCACAUAGGGCAGAGAUACGACCCGAACUCCUACGGGAGGAAGCAGUGGAGAAUAUUGCACAAUGGGGGAAACCCUGAUGCAGCAACGCGCGUGCGGGAUGACGGCCUUCGGGUUGUAAACCGCUUUCAGCCAUGACGCGGUAGUGGCAGAAGAAGCACCGGCUAACUACGUGCCAGCCGCCGCGGUAAUAC